GUGGGGAAUAUUGGACAAUGGGCGAAAGCCUGAUCCAGCCAUGCCGCGUGUGUGAAGAAGGCCUUCGGGUUGUAAACUGCUUUUGUACGGAACGAAACGGUCCGGGUUAAUACCCUGGGCUAAUGACGGUACCGUAAGAAUAAGCACUGGCUAACUACGUGCCAGCAGCCGCGGUAAUACGUAGGGUGCAAGCGUUAAUCGGAAUUACUGGGCGUAAAGCGUGCGCAGGCGGUUUUGUAAGACAGGCGUGAAAUCCCCGGGCUCAACCUGGGAAUUGCGCUUGUGACUGCAAGGCUGGAGUGCGGCAGAGGGGGAUGGAAUUCCGCGUGUAGCAGUGAAAUGCGUAGAUAUGCGGAGGAACACCGAUGGCGAAGGCAAUCCCCUGGGCCUGCACUGACGCUCAUGCACGAAAGCGUGGGGAGCAAACAGGAUUAGAAACCCCUGUAGUCC
rnacentral:rRNA from 1 species